UGAUUCAAGGGACAAAUGGACACAAAACGGAUGCUUGCAUACGUAUUUGUGUCUAUGAGGACCGCCAAAACAUGAGGAGGCAGCUAUUUGCGCAGUAAAUAUGCGAAUUCCGAAUGUUUUCGUGAUUUUGAGAGUACAAAAUACGGAAAAAUCACGUAUGGCUCA
rnacentral:sRNA from 1 species